rnacentral:rRNA from 1 species
CGGGGUAGAGUAACGCGUGAGGAACCUGCCUCAAAGAGGGGGACAACAGUUGGAAACGACUGCUAAUACCGCAUAAGCCCACAGCUCGGCAUCGAGCAGAGGGAAAAGGAGUGAUCCGCUUUGAGAUGGCCUCGCGUCCGAUUAGCUAGUUGGUGAGGUAACGGCCCACCAAGGCGACGAUCGGUAGCCGGACUGGGAGGUUGAACGGCCACAUUGGGACUGAGACACGGCCCAG